GGGCUUGACAUCCCACGAACCUGCCCGAAAAGGUGGGGUGCCCGCAAGGGAGCGUGGAGACAGGUGGUGCAUGGCUGUCGUCAGCUCGUGUCGUGAGAUGUUGGGUUAAGUCCCGCCACGAGCGCCACCCUCACCCCUAGUUGCCACCGGGUUAAGCCGAGCACUCAAGGGGAACUGCCAGCGUCAAGCUGGAGGAAGGCGGGGAUGACGUCAAGUCAUCAUGCCCCUUACGCCCUGGGCUACACACGUGCUACAAUGGCCAGUACAAAGGGACGCGAGACUGCGAAGUGGAGCUAAUCCCAAAAAGCUGGUCUAAGUUCAGAUUGCAGUCUGCAACUCGACUGCAUGAAGGAGGAAUCGCUAGUAAUCGCGUAUCAGCCCGGCGCGGUGAAUACGUUCCCGGGCCUUGUACACACCGCCCGUCACACCACGAAAGCUGUCUGUACUCGAAGUCGCUGAG
rnacentral:rRNA from 1 species